UUCAGCCUGGAGAAGAGAAGGCUGCAAGGUGACCUGAGAGCAGCUUUUCAGUAUCUAAGUGAGGACUAUUAGAAGAGGACAGAUAUUUUAGCAGGGUCUGUGGUGACAGAUUUAGGGGAGAUUGUUUCAAAGUGAAAGAGGGGAGACUUAGAUUGGGCAUAAGGAAGAAGAUUUUUACAAUCAGGAUGAUGAAGCACUGGCACAAGUUGCCCAGACUAGUGGUGGAUGCCCUCUUCCAUGAGAUAGUAAAGGUCAGCUUGGACAGGGCUCUGAGCAAUCUGAUGGAUCUGUGGGUGUUUCAUUGUGUGUUUUCAUUGUGUGGGAGUUGGACUAGAUGGUCUUUAAUGGCUCCUUUCAGCUCAAACAAUUAUAUGAUUCUGUGAUUCAUACACUCAAUACAAAUCUGAUUUUUUCUUGGGGAUGAGGUGUGAGGAGAAGGCAACAGAUGAGGGCUGUGUUUUGUAAAGGCAACUUCAGGUUGCAGAGAAAGUGCAGGAAAACAAACUGUCAAGUUAAUUUUAUGUGUGCUUCAGCAGGUGGUUUAGAACAUAGAAAUUAAAGAAUCCUGCGCCUUCAAAACUUUGCUCUUACACUGCAACUCUGUGGCUCUGCCAAAGGUUGUGUCUAGGAAACCUGAGAGGCAAUGUGCUCUUUACUUCUUCAAAGUUUGCUUUGUGUUUGAAGCUGAUGGGAAUUUGCAAUUUUGUGGGGCUACUAGGUUUCUCUUCUUCAGCAGUGCACAAACUGCAGGUAUAUGUGUCAAAACAGAAAGGCAAAGAUGACUGUGUGCAUGCCAUCAUCACCUGCAGCACUGGGGCCAGAGCACCUUCAUAAAGCUGGCAUGUCAUGCUGUAGAAACUUGAACUAUUUGUGCUACCAGUGGUAUAGCUGUCUGAUUUGUCUAUGCAUAAACAGGAAGAGUUUUCUGAUUAUAAUAGCAAAGUUCAAUUAAUAAAUUAAGUGAUUCAGCUCUUUCCUUGUAUUUGUAGGGGAACUGCACCAUGUUGUGAAGUGUUACAUGUUUUGAUGUGGUGGAGGCAGGGUGAGGUGUGUGAAGGAUCAUCACGAUAACUUUUCUGCUCAGGAGUUGUUGUAAGGAUAAACUAUUUAUAAUAGCUGUGGAAAAAGCUCCCCUCCCAAAGGACCUGAGGAUGCCCCUAUUACUCCAGCCACUUCCAUCUGCUAUUUGCAGAAACUGAAGAAAAUUUGCUGUGCUUCUGGAAGGCUCUUCUGAUAUCCUGCUCAUAGGCAACUGCCAUAGAAGGACUGAUUAUAUAUAUGAACAUCUUUGCACAUAAUCUGGAGAAACUUUGUGGAAGAUGUUGACUGACAGUUGCUGAGGUAGUAAAUCUUCUAUUUAGAAAUCAGUCUGUUUGCCUACAGUGCUUGCCAGUCCAACUGGCUGUUUCAGGAAGACUAGACUCAAGAUGUGAAGAUGUCUAGCCACUAUUUCGGUUUGGUUCCUGCUCCUUUGCUGACAUUUGCUGAGCCCUCCAUAUGUCAUGCCAACUCCCUAACAUGGAAGUAGCUGCUUAAUUCCUCUUCUACCUCAACAUUUCUCACCCUCUGUCCCAUAAUUGUCAGUGCCUUGGAUGUUCUUCAUGCAACCUACUUAAAGAUUUCUCAAGAAAGGGAGGGUGAGUCAGCCUGGGUCUGAUUGCCCUCUAGGGCAAGGUUUUGUGAGAAGAGAAUGAGAAGGGCAGUGUCCUAGACUGUCAUCAGUAGAAUUCCUUAACCAGAUAAACACCUUCUUAGAUGUCCAGGCCUGGGUGCCCCUUGAUGUUCUUCUUUCCCUGACAAGUUUGGCUGGAUCUGACAGGUAGUCUGUUCUGUGCACUCUGUGUCUGGGAACACUUUACAGAGUGUUGUUUUACUCCAGGUUCUCAGGGGUUUGGAGGUCAGCAUCCUACACUCUGUUGUUUCUCUAUCAGAACCUUAUGUAUUGUCCCUAUUUUUAUACCAUGGCUGACAUGAGCAAAUGGACAUGUGCAGAAGGAGAGCAGGUGCUGCUACCACCAGCUCCUUGACUGAGUGCAGUAGCAUGGCACUGGUGAGUGAGGCAUGAGCAUCAGCUGCUCAUGCAGUGUGGUGAUGCUGACCUGGGAUGCAUGCAGAUCCUUCUAGUCAAAAAAUACCCUUCAGGAUGAAGCCAUGGCCCUUUUCUGCCCGAUAGCUGGGAAGUGGCUUUCAUGGGGAAAGCACUUAACAUUUGUGCUCUGGAACACUGCUGUUGUUCCCACACAUCACACUAUCAUUCUGUUAUCAAUGCUAAAAUAAGGUUGAAAGGCUAACUCCAUGUGUACUGCUCCACAUUUUUCAGCACUAUCUUUAUUUGCUACUUACAGCACUGCAAGAUAUUCUAGGAUCAACCUUCCUCUUGUACCUCUGAGGCACUAUGGUCCCUCUCUGUCAAAUGACAAAUUUGCGGCUUCCUCCAGCUCCCCAUUCUGCCCAUCUCAUCCUGUGAUUAAGCUGCCCCUCAGACCUGGAGGAGCUUUAUGAACAUAACCUCUCUGCAUUUGUCACUGACUGUCAGCCUUAUUCAGUGCAAUGGGAAUGAGCAGCAUUUUGAUCAAGAGUCCUGCUUGCUUUAUCUUAUCCCUGCUGUCACUACUGUAAAUCUGUGAGAACCCACUCACUUUCUUAAAAGCUUGUGUGGUGAAAUUUUGACUGUGUUGUGACCAAAAAAAAAAAAAAAAAAAAAA